AACUACGUGCCAGCAGCCGCGGUAAUACGUAGGGUGCAAGCGUUAUCCGGAAUUAUUGGGCGUAAAGGGCUCGUAGGCGGUUCGUCGCGUCCGGUGUGAAAGUCCAUCGCUUAACGGUGGAUCUGCGCCGGGUACGGGCGGGCUGGAGUGCGGUAGGGGAGACUGGAAUUCCCGGUGUAACGGUGGAAUGUGUAGAUAUCGGGAAGAACACCAAUGGCGAAGGCAGGUCUCUGGGCCGUCACUGACGCUGAGGAGCGAAAGCGUGGGGAGCGAACAGGAUUAGAUACCCUGGUAGUCCACGCCGUAAACGGUGGAUGCUGGAUGUGGGGACCAUUCCACGGUCUCCGUGUCGGAGCCAACGCGUUAAGCAUCCCGCCUGGGGAGUACGGCCGCAAGGCUAAAACUCAAAGAAAUUGACGGGGGCCCGCACAAGCGGCGGAGCAUGCGGAUUAAUUCGAUGCAACGCGAAGAACCUUACCUGGGCUUGACAUGUUCCCGACAGCCCCAGAGAUGGGGCCUCCCUUCGGGGCGGGUUCACAGGUGGUGCAUGGUCGUCGUCAGCUCGUGUCGUGAGAUGUUGGGUUAAGUCCCGCAACGAGCGCAACCCUCGCCCUGUGUUGCCAGCACGUCGUGGUGGGAACUCACGGGGGACCGCCGGGGUCAACUCGGAGGAAGGUGGGGAUGACGUCAGAUCAUCAUGCCCCUUACGUCCAGGGCUUCACGCAUGCUACAAUGGCCGGUACAACGGGAUGCGAC
rnacentral:rRNA from 1 species